GCCGGCUUAUCCUUUUUGUGAGUAAUUUGCUUGAUACUCUCUUGUUAAAUCGGUCUGUUUUGGUUGUGUUAGUGGUUUCUUGGAUGAUUUAUUUGGUCAGGUUUUGUUGGAUGACGUGUCUUGGAUUGCACAAUGGAUUGUGUUAUUGCAACUUCUGUUUCGCAAUUAUUGGUUUAGCAAUAGUUUGCUUUGUCCCUGUGGAGCUUAUCUUGAUGUAUGAAAUCGGCCUUCUGUUUUGGUAUGUGCCUCUGUUGGAAUAGGGAAAUUCUAAUCCAUUUAAAUGUCCCUCAUAAAGCAAAUAAACGUAAUGUUUCGUUGUACAGCUGCUUCUGUGAUACUGCUAAGAGUGGGGUUUGGCUUGGUUGUGGUAGACCAUAGAUUCUUAUCUAGCUUUACCAAGACUUUGGUUUUUGCGGUUUGGUGUUCCUUAUGCAAUAUGGGUUCAAAGAUGUGCUUUCAUCCUAGUGUUAUUUUUCCCCUGA
rnacentral:misc_RNA from 1 species